CCCCACAAAUACGUUAUAUUUGCGGCGGUCAAUAACCUCCGCCAACCUUAAAAAAAUGCGUACUAACCCCAAUUUUCCCCUCUUUUUUGAUAAUUUUCCUCUUUUUUCCCCAAACCCCUCCCUCACUUUCACGAAAGAGAAGCUUUUCAGCUUCCAUUUGGACCGUAGGGGGGUUCACGCUUGGACCGUCACUAAUGUAAAUUUUUGCUUUCUUCCCCAUUCUAUGAAAGAGAUUCACAACGGUAAGUUUGAUUGUGGGUUCAGAUCUAUGGUAAUUCCUCUUCCCCAUUCUUUGAUUUUGCUUUUCUGUGUUUCUUUUUUCUUGCAUGUGGGUUUUAGGUUUAUUUCCUUUUGUUAAUUUGUGUUUUUCCUUAACUGAUUUUUCCUCUAAUUUGUGGCUUUUCUGUAUUACGAUUCUCUACUGAGAGUAACAGAAAUUUUAGUUGAAUCAGUGUUUUUUAAAGAAGGAUAUAACACUCUCUUUUGAAUUCGAGAUGUAAGUCUUCUUUCUCCUUCUGCCUUAGGUAUUUUAGGUUGUAAAAUUUAGCUUUUUUGGUAUUUUUGUAGGUUAAUUUCUGCGAUUUUGGGUCUACUUAAUUGAAAUAUUUCCUCUUGCAUGUGUAUUUUAGAAUUCCUGAGGACCUUUAGAGAAGACACAAUUGUCACUAGUGGCUAUUCCUCUUUCUGCUCUACAUGGUGUUUGAAUCAAUCACAAGCCCAAGCGUUACAAGAACUUCCAGAACUCAAUUCAGUCAGCACCUACAUCACAAGGUGUAGCACAAACUUUAUCAACAACUGAAUCAACACCUUCGCAUUUUGAUGAUGCACCACAGCUGACUUCAUUUAUUCAACCGAUAACACAACCAACACCUUCAGGUCAUGUUGCAGCAAAUCCGGUUCUGUUAGAUCAGACCACAACACAGCAAGUUCCAUCAGCCCGGGUCGCGUCACAACACACACCAUCUAGAAAGUGUAGUGGACGUGUAUCUACGCAACAUUGGACUGUAGAUGAAAUAGCCAAGUGAUGCGGCUAGCGGAUCCAUUUCACCCAUGGAUAUAAGAAGAUCAUCCGGUGGAAGUAAUCCUAACAACAACCUUUGAAGUUGCUUGCAAAUGUAUUAGAUAAUUAAGCAUCGUAUUCGAUUGAAUGGUCAUAGUAGAUAUUUUGUCCAUAAUGGUUGGAGUGGAUGUUCUGUUUAAAGUUAGUUUUAAGAAUAAUUAUAAUAUUGAUGUUUUGUGUUUAAUGGUUGGAGUAGUUGUGUUUAAAGCAAAUUUUUGAGACUAAUGUAUUUUGUGGUUUAUUAAUAUAUUGACAUUACUUGAUUCCA